AUGGACCCGGAGCUCAAGACCCGCGUCCGCUCCGACCUGGAGAGCUUCCUCAAGGGCCGCGCCUACUACCACCACCUGGCCCGCGUCUGGCGCCGGAGCUACCUUCUCUACGGCGCGCCCGGCACGGGCAAGUCCACGUUCGCCGCUGCGAUGGCGAGGUUCCUCGGGUACGACGUCUACGCCAUCGACCUCUCCCGCGCAGGCACAGACGACCUCCGCGCGCUGCUCCUGGACACCGCCCCGGGGGCGGUAACGGGCGGCUGUUUUUUGUCAAAUACUCGAGCUUAUAUGCACAUCUUUGUCAUUCUCGCACAUGCUCAGGGGCUCAGCGAUUUAACUUACAGGAGAAGCUCAGGAAGCUGCUUCGAGUGGCCUCUCCCCAACUUCGCAGUGGUUGGGAAGUUAUGCCGAACCAAAAUUUCCAGUUCUUUCGGCUUUGGCUUAAUUUCGGAGAGACUUCUUAGCCACAACCAGCGGAGCAACACAGAUAUCGAACUCGAUCAUCAGUUCCCUAACAACGCUCCUGUGUUAGUGUGUGUUGAUGGCUAA
rnacentral:rRNA from 1 species